AAUACCAAGAAAUAGAAGUUGUAGAUAAUUAAAUUAGAUUUCCAACCAUAGGUCGUGGGUUCCCAAGUGACAUCGGUACAAGGAGAUAUGGACGUUUUAAGGUCGAAAGGUCAGUGGGCUAGGCCCAACUCGGGACCAACCGGGUUGGCCCAAAAAAAUGAAGAGAAAAAUCAGGCCCAAUAGGGGACAUCCGGCCAUGGUCCAUAAAAAGGACCCAAGCCCAAGUGAAUUAUCCAUGUGAUAAUUAAAAAAAAGGGACCAUUUAAUUGUCUUGAAACAUAUAGAAGUUUCAAGACAAAUUGAGAAAGAGAGAACAAAAGAAACAAGAGCAAAAGAACUAAAGGCCAUACGGCCAUGGAGAAAAAAAAUUGACCCUUUGAAAUCUUAUCCCAAAAAUUAUUUUCUUGUGGUAUUUCUACUAAUUCAAGGGUCCUUUACAACUUGGUGUAAUUAUUUUGGAAGGAAGAGCACUUGUUUCUUCAAGUUGACAACUUGGUCAAGUGAAGAAGAUUGUAGAAAAAGAUUUUGGCGAACUUGAAACUUGAUUUUGGAGACGUGUAUGAAGCGGAAAAGGUCAGCAGACAGGCGGAUUUGGUUCCUAGGAGCUCUAUCAGCAGUAUUUGACAGCGCUCCAGUUGUUCCGGAGCCUCAGUCCCUUGGUACUAUUUUUGUGUAUAUACUCGGACACGGCAGUACUCGGCCCUUUCUGUGUAUAUGUGUACUAUGUUUAGAGGCUCGUAGACAGAUAUGUACAGUUAGAUGUGUUGUAUUUUGGAAUGUUCACGUCGUCGUAUAACGUGAUAGCAAAGUUUACUAGUCUAUGUUUACGAUGAUGCUACUAAUGUUAAUGUCCAGUAACGAAAAAAAAA